rnacentral:rRNA from 1 species
UUUGAUUUCCUGGCUCAGAUUGAACGCUGGCGGCAGGCCUAACACAUGCAGAUCGAGCGGUAGCACAGAGAGCUUGCUCUCGGGUGACGAGCGGCGGACGGGUGAGUAAUGUCUGGGAAACUGCCUGAUGGAGGGGGAUAACUACUGGAAACGGUAGCUAAUACCGCAUAACGUCGCAAGACCAAAGAGGGGGACCUUCGGGCCUCUUGCCAUCAGAUGUGCCCAGAUGGGAUUAGCUAGUAGGUGGGGUAACGGCUCACCUAGGCGACGAUCCCUAGCUGGUCUGAGAGGAUGACCAGCCACACUGGAACUGAGACACGGUCCAGACUCCUACGGGAGGCAGCAGUGGGGAAUAUUGCACAAUGGGCGCAAGCCUGAUGCAGCCAUGCCGCGUGUAUGAAGAAGGCCUUCGGGUUGUAAAGUACUUUCAGCGAGGAGGAAGGCAUUGUGGUUAAUAACCACAGUGAUUGACGUUACUCGCAGAAGAAGCACCGGCUAACUCCGUGCCAGCAGCCGCGGUAAUACGGAGGGUGCAAGCGUUAAUCGGAAUUACUGGGCGUAAAGCGCACGCAGGCGGUCUGUCAAGUCGGAUGUGAAAUCCCCGGGCUCAACCUGGGAACUGCAUUCGAAACUGGCAGGCUAGAGUCUUGUAGAGGGGGGUAGAAUUCCAGGUGUAGCGGUGAAAUGCGUAGAGAUCUGGAGGAAUACCGGUGGCGAAGGCGGCCCCCUGACAAGACUGACGCUCAGGUGCGAAAGCGUGGGGAGCAAACAGGAUUAGAUACCGGGGGUUAG